rnacentral:rRNA from 1 species
GAUGAACGCUGGCGGCGUGCCUAAUACAUGCAAGUCGAGCGAAUGGAUUAAGAGCUUGCUCUUAUGAAGUUAGCGGCGGACGGGUGAGUAACACGUGGGUAACCUGCCCAUAAGACUGGGAUAACUCCGGGAAACCGGGGCUAAUACCGGAUAACAUUUUGAACCGCAUGGUUCGAAAUUGAAAGGCGGCUUCGGCUGUCACUUAUGGAUGGACCCGCGUCGCAUUAGCUAGUUGGUGAGGUAACGGCUCACAAAGGCAACGAUGCGUAGCCGACCUGAGAGGGUGAUCGGCCACACUGGGACUGAGACACGGCCCAGACUCCUACGGGAGGCAGCAGUAGGGAAUCUUCCGCAAUGGACGAAAGCCUGACGGAGCAACGCCGCGUGAGUGAUGAAGGCUUUCGGGUCGUAAAACUCUGUUGUUAGGGAAGAACAAGUGCUAGUUGAAUAAGCUGACACCUUGACGGUACCUAACCAGAAAGCCACGGCUAACUACGUGCCAGCCGCCGCUGUAA